rnacentral:rRNA from 1 species
AGAGUUUGAUCCUGGCUCAGGACGAACGCUGGCGGCGUGCCUAAUACAUGCAAGUAGAACGCUGAAGGAAGGAGCUUGCUCUUUCCGGAUGAGUUGCGAACGGGUGAGUAACGCGUAGGUAACCUGCCUGGUAGCGGGGGAUAACUAUUGGAAACGAUAGCUAAUACCGCAUAACAGUAGAUAUCGCAUGUUAUGUGCUUAAAAGGUGCAAUUGCACCACUACCAGAUGGACCUGCGUUGUAUUAGCUAGUUGGUGAGGUAACGGCUCACCAAGGCAACGAUACAUAGCCGACCUGAGAGGGUGAUCGGCCACACUGGGACUGAGACACGGCCCAGACUCCUACGGGAGGCAGCAGUAGGGAAUCUUCGGCAAUGGACGGAAGUCUGACCGAGCAACGCCGCGUGAGUGAAGAAGGUUUUCGGAUCGUAAAGCUCUGUUGUAAGAGAAGAACGAGUGUGAGAGUGGAAAGUUCACACUGUGACGGUAUCUUACCAGAAAGGGACGGCUAACUACGUGCCAGCAGCCGCGGUAAUACGUAGGUCCCGAGCGUUGUCCGGAUUUAUUGGGCGUAAAGCGAGCGCAGGCGGUUAGAUAAGUCUGAAGUUAAAGGCUGUGGCUUAACCAUAGUACGCUUUGGAAACUGUUUAACUUGAGUGCAAGAGGGGAGAGUGGAAUUCCAUGUGUAGCGGUGAAAUGCGUAGAUAUAUGGAGGAACACCGGUGGCGAAAGCGGCUCUCUGGCUUGUAACUGACGCUGAGGCUCGAAAGCGUGGGGAGCAAACAGGAUUAGAUGCCCUGGUAGUCCACGCCGUAAAC